rnacentral:rRNA from 1 species
GAUGAACGCUAGCGGAAGGCUUAAUACAUGCAAGUCGAGCGAGAAUCGGUCUUCGGAUCGAGGACAGCGGCGAACGGGGUAGGAAUACCUCGGUGACGUACCCCCAGGUCGGGGAUAGCGGCGGGAAACUGCCGGUAAUACCCGAUGACCUUCCCAAGUUUUACGACAGGGGAAGCAAAGGUGUGAUUCCGUCUGGGGAGCGGCUGAGGUCGUAUUAGCUGGUUGGUGAGGUAAUGGCUCACAAAGGCAAUGAUGCGUAGGGGGUGUGAGAGCAUGGCCCCCACCACUGGCACUGAGACACUGGCCAGACACCUACGGGUGGCUGCAGUCGAGAAUCUUCGGCAAUGGGCGCAAGCCUGACCGAGCGACGCCGCGUGCGGGAUGAAGGUCUUCGGAUUGUAAACCGCUGUCGGAGGGGAUGAAGUGCAGGGGGGUACUCCCCCCUGUUUGACGGAGCCUCGGAGGAAGCACGGGCUAAGUUCGUGCCAGCCGCCGCCGUAACAC